GUGUUCACUUCAGAGCAUAUAUAUUAAACUUGAAACACUACAAAGAUCAACAUGGUCUCUGUGCAAGGGUAGCCGGCACACAGUCAUGAUUGGUCUACAAUUUUC
ensembl:snRNA predicted gene, 22084